GUCAGCAUGGCAUAGUGGUUUGAGUGUUGGACCAUGACUCUGGAGACCAGGGUUUGAUUCUUAGUUUGGACA